UGGGGAAUAUUGCACAAUGGGCGCAAGCCUGAUGCAGCCAUGCCGCGUGUAUGAAGAAGGCCUUCGGGUUGUAAAGUACUUUCAGCGGGGAGGAAGGCGAUGCGGUUAAUAACCGUGUCGAUUGACGUUACCCGCAGAAGAAGCACCGGCUAACUCCGUG
rnacentral:rRNA from 1 species